rnacentral:rRNA from 1 species
AGAGUUUGAUCCUGGCUCAGGACGAACGCUGGCGGCGUGCUUAACACAUGCAAGUCGAACGAUGAACCACCUUCGGGUGGGGAUUAGUGGCGAACGGGUGAGUAACACGUGGGCAAUCUGCCCUUCACUCUGGGACAAGCCCUGGAAACGGGGUCUAAUACCGGAUACUGACCUGCCAAGGCAUCUUGGCGGGUCGAAAGCUCCGGCGGUGAAGGAUGAGCCCGCGGCCUAUCAGCUUGUUGGUGAGGUAAUGGCUCACCAAGGCGACGACGGGUAGCCGGCCUGAGAGGGCGACCGGCCACACUGGGACUGAGACACGGCCCAGACUCCUACGGGAGGCAGCAGUGGGGAAUAUUGCACAAUGGGCGAAAGCCUGAUGCAGCGACGCCGCGUGAGGGAUGACGGCCUUCGGGUUGUAAACCUCUUUCAGCAGGGAAGAAGCGAAAGUGACGGUACCUGCAGAAGAAGCGCCGGCUAACUACGUGCCAGCAGCCGCGGUAAUUC